AUGGGAUCUGCAGCUGGAAGCUUCAGGGCAGAGCUCUGAAGGCUAUGAAAAGCUUCCCGUUAUUAUUUUGGAUAUUUACACCGAGCACAACAAGUCUUGUGUCCUCUGGGAGCUGUGGGGAUGGAAGUGCAGCACGGGGAGAGGCUGGAAAGGAACCUGACCUUUGGAUGGGAGGAACCAUCCUGGAGACUCCUCACAGCCCUCGAGGUGCUGAGUCUGGGAGCAGAUGAACUGUGAGUUGUGGCACCCUGGAUAUUUGCUGGAUGUGCAGUUCAAAUGCCCCGUGAAGCCAAAACUCCUGAAACUGAGGGGACACUUUUAAAAGUGCCUCAAAGAUGUUGAGGUAAAACUCUCAGAUAGACAGAGCUUUUUUGGAGCUGGCUUAGAACCAGCGAGAUUCUGCUUCUGGUUCUAGCACUGAAUUUAAAUAAGGAAGAGGAUCCCCCACGCGAGGUCUGGACCCACCGAACCGCAGCCACUUUUGAAGAGGAAAAACAAAAAUUGCUAAGAUGUGACUCCGCUUAUUUUGGGCGAAAAUUUGUAAAUCAUCUGGGAAAGAGUCUGGCCGGGUUUGCAGAGAGCUCAGCGCUGCAAAUCCUCGAUUCUGCUGCCACAAAAACAUCAAACCACCAGAGCGAGGGGUGGCAGAGCCUCUCUGCUCUUUCUGUAGCACCCCAGGGGUGGGGAAAGGGGAAAGGUGAGAAAAAAGAGUUUUGUUUUCGACAUUGUUUUGUUUGUGUCUGGCAAACUCAUCGUGAAUUUGAAACAAAACCCACCCUGAUCUGGAAGUGACCUCCCCACGUUUCUAACAAGCUGCAGCCUGGGUUUGCAUUUAGAUUCUGCAGCUUCACCAGGCAGCCAAGAGCCAGAGCGCGUUCAAUUAACCUAAACGCAGGUUUUGCAUUUUAAAAAGUGAUUCUGCAAGUAAUUUCAGAGUGGCUGCUUGUUGUGUGAGCCACCGUUCUGUGCCACAUCAAAGCCUCCACCUCGGCACCGAAAUUCUCUCCUGCCGUCUCAGCUCAGCAGUUGCCCUUUGUUGUUGCUCUUCACCAGCCAAACAAUGCCCCCGUGGUGUUUUUGCAGGAGAUAGGAUAAUGAGCUCAAAGUGCUGGGUGUGAAAAGUGAGCUUUUCUAGGCCUAACUGUGCUAAAGGUGCCAAAGUUAUUUAAGGUUUUGUUGUUUUUUGGGGUUUUUUUUGCUGCCCCGGUGCCAAAAUUGGCUUCCCAGCUUUUGCCACGGGGCUCCGGCUUGGAAAAACUUCUGAGCAAGCUUAACUUUAACAUCGGGAGUCAUCAGUGUCCCAAGCACCAUCACACGGAGCCGUGCUUGAAUCAUAAAAUCACAGAGUCUUGGAGUGAUUUUGCUUAAAAGGCACCUUAAAGGUCACCCAGAUCCAGAUCCAAGCCCCUGCCAUGGCCAGGGACACCUUCCACUAUCCCAGGUUGUUCCAAGCCAUCUCCAACAUGGUCCAAGACCAACUCUAAAACUCUGUUUUUCCUCACAAAGGCAAUUUUUAGAGUUUUAUCUCCAGCAUUAUUCCUCUUUCAUUCAUAGAAAUGAUGCUUUUCCGAACUGCACUUCUCAACCAACGGAUCCUCCUGAUAAUUUAUCCCUUGUCCAGGCCAACACAGGCAGUUCCAUGGAAGUAUUUUCACUCCACGGCGGAUAUCAGGGAUCCCAAGCUGAGACACAGCACCAGCCAGGCAAAGGGAGCUUCCACUGGCCUCCAGGAGCCACAAAACAUCUGGAAUGCCAGCUCCCACCCACCUAUGGAUGCAGCCAGGACCCUGCCUGUGUCUUCCCUGCAGCCUUUGCAGGACUCCUGUGAUGCUUUAAUUUUUCUCUUUGCAGUGUUCCACGUUCUGUGCUGCCCAGGUGCAGCUCUGAGCUCACACUCAGGCUCACUCAGCUCUCUGCACACAGCAGCCACACAAAACAAAUCCUGUUCCUGCUGCACACCGAGGACAACUGGGACAAGUGUUCAGCCCAAAAGCACAAACAACGGUGGCUGAGGGGAGAAAACAAGAAGGAUGGGACUGCAGAACCUGGAGCUGGAACUGGACAAUGAAACCCCAAGGUGCAAAUGGACCCAAACUUAUCAAAGUGUGAGACCUCGUGACUGGGGCUCCAUUUUGUGCCCAUUUUGUGUCCAUUUUGUGUCCAUUUUGUGACCAUUUUGUGACCAUUUUGUGUCCAUUUUGUGUCCAUUUUGUGACCAUUUUGUGACCAUUUUUUGUCCAUUUUUGUAUCCAUUUUGUGUCCAUUUUGUGUCCAUUUUGGUUCCACCUUGGGUGCAGCCCUGGCCAGGCUCUUGUCCUGCCCAAGGUGAAUCCUUAAAGGCCUUUCAAUAAAUCUCUACUUUAUUCUCCAGCUCUGUCCAGUCUCUGUUCCGGCUCAGCCUUCCCAAGGCAUCACCUGAGCCCGGGGAUGUCUCCUGAGCCCAUUCCAGGUGUGAAUCCAGCCCUGUUCCCAGCUUGUCUCAGAUGUCAGACCCUCAGCUGGGUUCCUGGUCUACACCUACUUCCAGUUCCUUGCCCUGUCCUCAGCUGCCUCCUCCAUCCUGACCAAGACCCUCCCAGGCUUCCAGGAAACCCAGGAGCAAACAGAACCUGUCACUGGUGCCUCCAAAUCUUCCAUA